rnacentral:rRNA from 1 species
UACGUAGGGUCCGAGCGUUGUCCGGAAUCACUGGGCGUAAAGGGCGCGUAGGCGGCGCGGGCAGUCAACGGUGAAAGCUUGGGGCUCAACCCCGAGUCGGCCGUCGAUACUCCCGGGCUGGAGCACUGUAGAGGCAGGUGGAAUUCCGGGUGUAGCGGUGGAAUGCGUAGAGAUCCGGAAGAACACCGGUGGCGAAGGCGGCCUGCUGGGCAGUAGCUGACGCUGAGACGCGAAAGCGUGGGGAGCGAACAGG